rnacentral:rRNA from 1 species
UGGCUCAGGAUGAACGCUGGCGGCGUGCUUAACACAUGCAAGUCGAACGAUGAAGCCCAGCUUGCUGGGUGGAUUAGUGGCGAACGGGUGAGUAACACGUGAGUAACCUGCCCCUGACUCUGGGAUAAGCCCGGGAAACUGGGUCUAAUACCGGAUAUGACUUUUGACCGCAUGGUUGAGGGUGGAAAGAUUUAUCGGUUGGGGAUGGACUCGCGGCCUAUCAGCUUGUUGGUGAGGUAAUGGCUCACCAAGGCGACGACGGGUAGCCGGCCUGAGAGGGUGACCGGCCACACUGGGACUGAGACACGGCCCAGACUCCUACGGGAGGCAGCAGUGGGGAAUAUUGCACAAUGGGCGCAAGCCUGAUGCAGCGACGCCGCGUGAGGGAUGACGGCCUUCGGGUUGUAAACCUCUUUCAGUAGGGAAGAAGCGAAAGUGACGGUACCUGCGAAGCG